rnacentral:lncRNA from 1 species
CCUGUGUUCCAGCCCAAUGAAAUUGCUAGAUUUAACAAAUAAAAAUCCAAGAUGCCCAGUUAAGUUUGAAUUUCAGAUGAACAGUAAUUUUUACAGUCUGCCCACUGCAUGCUUACACUAAAAUUUGUUCAUUGUUAACCUAACAGUCAAACUUACCUGAACUUGAAUUUAGCUGGCAUCUCUACAUCCUGUUAACUUCUCUUCUGUGUGCAGGUUGAAUACCAGACAUGAGUUUCUACAAAACACACCCUUUCAGAAUCAGAAAGAGUCAGGCACGUGCCUUCUGUGACGUGUGACAGCCAUCAGUGAAUCUAGGGACAGUACAUGCUCAUUAUUUGAGAGCUUCCCGGGUGUGGGGGCCACAGGAAAUACCCUGUCCUGGAGAGUCCCCGUUAGAUAAAUGCUUUGGCCUCUGUGUGGCAGCCAGGAUUAUCCAGGACUGAGUGGAUGCUGCAGGUCACAAGACAUCACAACAAGGCCUCUCCCUUCCUGCCACCCGCGCUCUUUCCCAGAGGGAAACUGAGGCUGGAGGAGCUGACACAGCCUGCUCACACCUGCUACUCGUCUGGCAUUUCUGUAUUGCGAAACAUCACCUCCAGAGCCCAGAGCACAGAAUUAAGCCUGCUGUGCAAGCUAAGGAAUGAAACCUCUUUCCUGACUACCGGUGGCGCUGGGCAGCUGAUGUACAACAUCUGCCUUCCUGAUAUGAUUGUCACCACAAGCCCUGGGACACAAGCAGAGAGGAACACGAGCCCCGUUCUGGGAUGCACUGGACGCCUAGGAAGGCCCAGGUUGGCACAGAUGCCCGGCUUUUUAGAAGAAUGUCCGCUUCCUCUGAAACAGGUAAAUUGCUUCAGGGAAUGACAGGUCACUUCUCCGUCUCUGAAGAUAGAAACUGUUAGCCCGGAGUGACUUAGUUGGAAAAAACUGAUUUCACGCUUUGCUGAGUCUGAUUGUCCUUGAACACCAGAACGCAUUAUCUGCCUGCUUGCGCCAGCUGAGUGCGUGGGCUGCUGUGACCGAGGUGCGGGGCGAAGCUGGCCCUGUGGGGGAGACAUUUAGGAUUGGGAGCCUUCGAGGGUCCCCGGGAGCCCCGGCAGAGCAGACCCUCCCAGGAAGGCAGUGUUCCUAGCAUCCCUAAAGCGACUUUCCUCACCAUUUGCCCCUCCAGCCCACCAUGUUUUCUGCACAGGUGCAAACCUGACUUCCAGGCCGCUUAUCU